CCAGAUAGCCGUACUCAAAAUGGAGGCCCUCUCCGGGCUUUGGGAAGGGAAAGUGCUUCCAUUUUGUGUGCGGCUGUGUGG
rnacentral:pre_miRNA from 1 species